rnacentral:misc_RNA from 1 species
UUGAUCAAACUCUUUCUUGACUUCCAAUAUGAUUUUUGCCAGUUGCUUAUCUUCAUCAGCACUAAAGAAGCAGUGACGAUUCUUAGCAUCACAAACUAGUUCCUUCCAAAUCGAUUCACUAUUAGUUAGGGUUCUUUCAUUUCCCAAAAUCCAAAGACAGUGCCUUGCCCUUGUAAUAGCAACAUUGACUCUCCGAGGAUUGGACAUGAACCCAAUUCUCCCAUCUCUAUUUGCUCUCACAGUGGAUAUUAUUAUGACAUCUUCCUCCCCACCCUGAAACCCAUCUACUGACUUCACCUUCACAGAAAAACCAUUAAUAUUUUCAUACUUGUGACCAAUUUUCUCUUGGAUUGCAGUCACUUGAGCAACAUAUGGGGAUAUUACACCAAUUCUAAGCUUCUGUUUUGAGCCAUUCCAUGCUUUGUGCAGACUUUGCACUAGCUUUGACACAAUAGCUACCUCAACCAUAUUUCUUCGGCUACGUCCAACAUCAUCCAACUCUUCUCUUCCAUCAAACACAUUUAUGAAUGAAUAGGGUCCAAACAUUGGCCCUGGAAGAUAAUGCUUUUCAUAA